rnacentral:lncRNA from 1 species
UGGUCAUCUUUGAUUUUGUUGAUUCGUGGCAAUGAUAUGUCACCCAAGAUAUCAAGAGCUUUCAAGUUCAAAGUCAUAUUCAAAUACAGAAUCAAGAUCUAAUUCAAACUUAGACUUUCAAGAUCUAAUUCAAACUUAGACUUUCUGGAAACACAAGUUAUACAUGAUCAUUUAUUUUUAAAAUGGCCAAUUUCAUUAUCCAUUUCAUUAAAAUUUCCAUUACAAAUACAAGAUCACAAUUCCAUACAAAUUAAAUUUUUUGCCUACAGUUGACUUUUGGUCAACUGUUGAUUUUUUGAUCAAACAGUUGACCAAAUUCAACUAAGCUAUCCUAAACCCAUUCCUACUUCAUGAUCCUUGACGACGCCCAACUUCACAUGCCAUGAUUUCACACCAAGUUGCCUUGAUUCAUGACUUGGCCGAAUCUUUAUGGCAAUACUUCAUACCAAGCCAUGAUCACUCUACCAAGGGGACAUCAUUCCUGCAGCAAAACCAACUCAGUCAAGACACAAGCAAAGCAAGAAUAAGUCAUACAACACGAUUGGACUGUCAUGCAUAUACCACACAGUAACAUUUCCUAUCUAUUGCUACUAAUCUUAGGACUCAAUCCUAAUUGUUUUGAUCACCAAUCCCCUAGCCAAUUAGCCACAUCCCAAUUAUGCUCCGGACUGGCUUCUGAUUCCUUGUAUCUAGCAUCAAUUUAACAUAUUCACUCACACACUUAUACAACCAAGAUUUAGAACACUUGCUAUUUACACACAUUCUAUGCAUACACAUAUUUCAGCAUACAUAUGUCUUUAUUACAUAAUAGGAUUCCAUAAAUCUCAAUAACAUACCCUGACAAAAUCCAAUUAACCUAAUAGUUACACUAACAGUCCAAUACAUUAAUUAACUAGUUUCAAGCUAUCACCAAUUCACUAGCAGUUGCAACAUGCGACUAGCCUAACAAUACUUUUUCCACUGAUACACCCAUAGCCAUGAGUUUUCUACUUCAAUAUUACACCAACAGGAAGCCUGCAUAACAACUUAACUGAGCCAUCAAAAUUAUUCUAACCACAACAUAACAAAUACACCAACAUAAUAACUAACUCAGUUGCGUUCAACUUCAAAUUUUCACUAACUUGAUAACACAAUUCAAACAUUUCAUAUACUAACAUGAUAGCAUUCAGUAUUAACAUACACCAAUCUAAACAUUAAUUAAUUAUCAUUCUACAUUCAUUCCAAACCUGAGGAUAACAUAACUAACAUUAACUGAAUCAACUCUUCUAACAAUUAACUAACCUACACUAACAAAAUUAACAGUUCACAAACUAACUCAAUGCUAACAUCCAAGCAUUUCAAUCUUUCACUAACACCAAUUGAUAAUUAAUUACAAUUCAAUCCAAAUAACAAUAGCAUAACUGCAGAAAAUGAAUCUAACUAACUCAGAUUUUUUCAACCUAACUUUAUUCUAACAUUCAUUUCAUUACACUAACAUUUCUAUGCUAACUCACCAAUUAACUUCACUAAUUUCAAGUUCAGUUACACUAGCUACAUUUAACCUAACUAUUUUAACAUUUCAAAUAACUGAAUUCUAAAACUCUAACUUCCAUUCAACUAACAUCAACAGAAACACUAACAGUGCCAAUCAAUUUCUAACUAACUUUCAUCUCAAUUCAACAAACUUUCUUACUGUGCCCUAACCCCAAACAAACUUCCCAAAACAUGCCUGAAUCAGUUAGAAAACCUCUCUAUAUAUUCUGACCCUCACUUUCAAUAAAAAAAACCUUCAAUUAUUCUGCAAAUUCACACAAACUCCAUUCAUUUUCUGCAAACACAUCACUCUCUCAAUUCAUCUCUCUCUGAUCUCCUUACACCAAAGCUCAAUUUCACCAUUUGUAGAGCAAGCUUCACAUUGAAGCUUGCUGCAACAAAGCUCAAUUUCACCAUUUGUAGAGCAAGCUUCACAUUGAAGCUUGCUGCAACAAAGCUCAACCUUCACUCCUCAAUCUCCUUACACCAAAGCUCAAUUUCACCAUUUGUAGAGCAAGCUUCACAUUGAAGCUUGCUGCAACAAAGCUCAACCUUCACUCCUCAAUCUCCUUACACCAAAGCUCAAUUUCACCAUUUGUAGAGCAAGCUUCACAUUGAAGCUUGCUGCAACAAAGCUCAACCUUCACUCCUCAAUUCAUAAAUCCCACAACACUAUCCUACACUCUCGCACGUAUUAACAACAACAAUCACAAGAUUCCGAUCCUACAGACUAUAUUCGAAGUAGUAGAAGAAGAAGUUUAAUGCAUAAUAGAAGACCGAAGAAUUCUAAACACACCUGUGAUUCCUCUGGUUUUCUCUUCAUAAUCUUUGUCUUCAACUUCAACAAAGUUCGAGACAAGCCAUGGUCUCACCGAUAAAUCACUCUCCACCUAUUCUUCUUGCUUCAAAUUCCUUUCCAUAAUUAGCCUCAAGGGAGGGGAAUAAAAGCCAUAUGGUUUCUGUCUCAAAUUCCCCUCCUAUCUGAUUUAAUUUCCGCUUAGGGUUCUUCUAUAUUUGGUUUCGAUUUGCAAAAGCGGAUAGAGUUAAGGUUAAUAUGAGGCGAGAUUGAUAGAGUUGAGGUUGAGAGGUUCAUUUUGGGGUGGGGGGGGNGGGGGGGGGUGGCAGUUUUGGCUCAACUCUGCCACCUCCGGUGCGGAGGAGCACAACUCCGGCGAAGGGGAGAAUUUUGAGAGAGAGAGAGAGAGAGAUGAAAACAUAACGAAAGGCGAAAUGAAUGAUACUGAUCCUUCCCUUUUUCCCUUUGGCUUGGAUUAGUGAUAUGGGCCUGAGGCCAUAAGCCCAGGAAAAUUACACAUUGAACCCUCCUUUUUUCAAGCACACCUCUCUACUGGAUGCACCAAUCUUUGUAUUGGGCUUUCUAUAAGCCCAAGCUAUAUUCCAG